AGCCAUGCAGUGAGCACAAAGCGAACUAUUCUUUCGCCUUUUACUAAAGAAUACCGUGUGCACAUUGUCAUGAAUGGCAGACUCUAAGUUUUGAGGUGUUUCUUUUUAGAGAGAAAC